AGUGUUUUUGGUGCCAUUUUUUGCCCCUCUGCAGUGUGUCUGUAAGCUGGUUUGCGACUCUGCGGCGCACCCCCAAAAACCAUGGCGGAAACCCCGACUGAAACCCUAGAUUCCUCUCCCCAAGCACCUCAAAUCUCCGAAGAUGCUACCGAGGAUAACGAAGACCAACUCAUGACCGAUGCCCCUAACUCGAACAAGGUGCCCCGGUCCGACUCCGACACAGAGUCUGACUCUGAUGACGACGCUAAACAGAAUCUCGAAAUUCAAGCUCUCGAAACUGAGCUCUCCAGCAACCCCUCUAAUUACGAUGCUCAUGUCCAAUAUAUUAAAUCCCUGAGGAAGCAGGGAGACAUAGAGAAGCUAAGAAUAGCUAGGGAAGCUAUGAGUGCCAUAUUUCCACUGAGUUCCGAGAUGUGGAAGGAGUGGAUUAAAGAUGAGAUGUCUCUUAGCUCUGGACCUGAGGCUUUCCCUGCUAUUGAAAAGUUAUAUGAGCGUGGAGUGUCUGAUUAUCUGUCUGUGGUUUUAUGGUGUGACUACUUAAAUUAUGUUCAAGAGCAUGACCCAUCAGUUAGUUCAUGUUCUAUAGAUGGUAUAUCAAAGGCAAGAAAUCUCUUUGAGCGUGCCCUUACUGCCGCUGGUUUGCAUGUUGCUGAAGGUGGCCGGAUAUGGGAAUUAUACAGGGACUUUGAACAAGCCAUUCUCAUCACAAUUGAUGGAACUGAUCACGAGACAAGGGAGAAGCAGAUCCAACGAAUUAGAAAUUUGUUUCAUCGACAGCUGUCUGUUCCCCUUGCUGACCUGAAAACAACUCUUAUUGCAUACAAGGCUUGGGAAGUAGAACAGGGAGGUAAUAUUGAUGUCAACUCCAGUGGCUUGGAUGGACUUUCUCCACAGGUGGUAUCUGCAUAUCAAAAAGCUCUAGAGAUGUUGAAUGCUCGACUUGACCUUGAGGAUCUAAUAUCCAAUAAGGAUGCAACUGAGACAGAUAGACUUCAACAGUUCAUGUCUUAUUUAAAAUUUGAGCAGUCAUCUGGGGACCCAGCUAGGGUGCAGAUAUUGUAUGAACGGGCUGUAGCCGACUUUCCAAUUUCUAGUGAUCUCUGGCUUGACUAUACUCUCUACAUGGGAAAAACCUUGAAGACUUCCAGGAUUGUGAGAGACAUUCAUCAUAGGGCCACGCGGAACUGUCCCUGGUCUGCAGAAUUGUGGACUCGUUACCUACUAUGUCUUGAACGUAGUCGUGCUUCUGAGGAUGAACUAUCCACUGUUUUUGAGAAGUCACUUCAAUGCACCUUCUUAAGCAUUGAAGAGUAUCUAGAAGUUUUUCUCACAAGAGUUGAUAGCUUAAGACGGAGAAUGUCUUCAUCUCAAGGAGUGGGGAGUGGCUUGGAUUAUGCAAUGAUACGGGACACCUUUCAGCGUGCAUCAGACUAUUUGUCCCCACAUCUGAAGAAUACAGAAAAGUUAAUACGAAUGUAUAGUUACUGGGCCCAUUUAGAGGCAAAUCUGCGGAAAGAUUUAAUUGCUGCUCGUGGUGUUUGGGAAAGCUUACUUAAAAUCUGUGGAUCUAUGCUAGAAGCCUGGCAAGGCUAUAUAUCUAUGGAGAUCAAGAUGGGUCACAUAAAUGAAGCCAGAUCCCUGUACAAAAGAUGUUAUAGCAAAAAAUUCCCAGGGACAGGCUCGGAGGACAUAUGCCAUUCUUGGGUGCGCUUUGAGAGAGAAUGUGGUUCCCUUGAAGACUUUGAUCUUGCGGUACAAAAGGUUACUCCUCGCCUAGAAGAACUACGACUUUUUAGGCUGCAGCAGGAGAGCAAAAAUACUGGUUUAUCUGCAGAUCAGAGAGAGACUGCCAUUGGGAGAGGAAUUCAUGAAAAGAGAAAACCACUUUCAGAUGUAGCAGAUGAACAGCCUGCAGCAAAACGUCGCAAAGAGAAAGCCAAGAAUUCUAAGUCCACUGAUGAAAAGGGAAAAACCCAAGCUACAGACUUGGUUGGUGCCGGUAAGAUGGAUGUGGUGGUAGAAGCAAGCAAACCAUCAACUGCAAGCAAGAAAGAAAAGGAAGGUAUUUCCACUGGAAAGCCAAAACAGUACAAUGACCAGUGCACUGCAUUUAUCUCUAACCUUAGCUUCCAGGCAAAUUAUGAUGACCUACAGAAGUUAUUCAGUGAUGUUGGUGGAGUUGUUGCUAUUCGAAUAUUAACAGACAAGUACACUGGAAAAUCAAGAGGAUUGGCCUAUGUGGAUUUUUGCGAUGAUGCACACCUUGCUGCAGCUUUGGCAAAGAAUAGGCAAAAGCUGCAUGGAAAAAAACUGAGCAUUCUGAGGUCAGAUCCUCAGCAGAACAAAAAGAGGGGAAACCUUGGGAAAGGAAUGCCAACAAAACAUGCAGAUUCUGGUGGUCAAGGUUCAAAAUCAGACUCCAAGGACAGUGGUGAAGUUUCAAGACAGAGUGGAGGUGGGCCUAAAAGAGAUCAGUCAGCUGAUAGGCAGAAAGAUGAUAUACAGCUGAAGGGUAGGAACAUUUUUGCAAUGCCAAGAGCUGUCAGCAAAAGUAAACCAAAACUGGAGAAGAUAGCUGAGGAAGGAGAAGACGAGAACCCUAAAUCAAAUGACGAGUUCCGCAAAAUGUUCCUGAAAUCUUGAAAUAUGCCAUGUGGGAAAAGGUUUGUACAUUAUACCCGAACCCUGUUAGUGGAGUAUGAACAGAAGCAAAUGCUUUAGGAAACUGACUUCUACUUGGUUUUAGUGGAGGCAUUGUGUUUCUUCUAAAUCAUAUAUCACGCCUUGUUUUCAAGCAUCUUAUGCUAAUGCAUUGGAUUAUUAUGCUACUUUAACUGUGUUAUUUUAGUAUAAUCUCCUUGCAUA